rnacentral:lncRNA from 1 species
UAAAUCAAAAUUGAAGUUGAUUCACUUUCUUUCCAAAAUAAAAUAGGAACAAAUCAUGAGUCUUAAAUUCAGAAGAUUAUAACCUUAAAUUCAUGAUCUCAAAAUAAAAUCCACCAUUUAUCACCAUAAUAAGAGACCGAGGUUUUUCUAAUGGAAAUCAUGAACAUCCAUCACACAACUCUUAUCCCACACUGAACACAACCUACCAAACCUACCAAAUUCAUACAUCCAUCAUUAACAACCCAAACAAUAAACAAAAGGAAAAAAAUAACGAUAACAAAUCAAAAUCCAUAGAAAAAUUCUGGUUUGGGGGAGAAAAC